GGCUUAGUAUAAAUUUAAUACAGAAGACUGUAAAUCUUUUAAUAAUGUCUUACAUUAGCUA
rnacentral:tRNA from 1 species